UAGAGGAAUCAGUCCACAACCUUAAGUGGAAAGUUCUUUUUUCUGUCCAUUGUCAGUGUUUUGAUGAUGGUGUUCAGCCUGCCAAAUGUCA
rnacentral:snoRNA from 1 species